CUACCAUGCAAGUCGAACGGAAGGCCCUGCUUUUGUGGGGUGCUCGAGUGGCGAACGGGUGAGUAACACGUGAGUAACCUGCCCUUGACUUUGGGAUAACUUCAGGAAACUGGGGCUAAUACCGGAUAGGAGCUCCUGCUGCAUGGUGGGGGUUGGAAAGUUUCGGCGGUUGGGGAUGGACUCGCGGCUUAUCAGCUUGUUGGUGGGGUAGUGGCUUACCAAGGCUUUGACGGGUAGCCGGCCUGAGAGGGUGACCGGCCACAUUGGGACUGAGAUACGGCCCAGACUCCUACGGGAGGCAGCAGUGGGGAAUAUUGCACAAUGGGCGGAAGCCUGAUGCAGCAACGCCGCGUGCGGGAUGACGGCCUUCGGGUUGUAAACCGCUUUCGCCUGUGACGAAGCGUGAGUGACGGUAAUGGGUAAAGAAGCACCGGUUAACUACGUGCCAGCAGCCGCGGUGAUACGUAGGGUGCGAGCGUUGUCCGGAUUUAUUGGGCGUAAAGGGCUCGUAGGUGGUUGAUCGCGUCGGAAGUGUAAUCUUGGGGCUUAACCCUGAGCGUGCUUUCGAUACGGGUUGACUUGAGGAAGGUAGGGGAGAAUGGAAUUCCUGGUGGAGCGGUGGAAUGCGCAGAUAUCAGGAGGAGCACCAGUGGCGAAGGCGGUUCUCUGGGCCUUUCCUGACGCUGAGGAGCGAAAGCGUGGGGAGCGAACAGGCUUAGAUACCCUGGUAGUCCACGCUGU
rnacentral:rRNA from 1 species